AUUGAACGCUGGCGGCAGGCCUAACACAUGCAAGUCGAGCGGAUGAAGGGAGCUUGCUCCUGGAUUCAGCGGCGGACGGGUGAGUAAUGCCUAGGAAUCUGCCUGGUAGUGGGGGAUAACGUCCGGAAACGGGCGCUAAUACCGCAUACGUCCUGAGGGAGAAAGUGGGGGAUCUUCGGACCUCACGCUAUCAGAUGAGCCUAGGUCGGAUUAGCUAGUUGGUGGGGUAAAGGCCUCCAAGGCGACGAUCCGUAACUGGUCUGAGAGGAUGAUCAGUCACACUGGAACUGAGACACGGUCCAGACUCCUACGGGAGGCAGCAGUGGGGAAUAUUGGACAAUGGGCGAAAGCCUGAUCCAGCCAUGCCGCGUGUGUGAAGAAGGUCUUCGGAUUGUAAAGCACUUUAAGUUGGGAGGAAGGGCAGUAAGUUAAUACCUUGCUGUUUUGACGUUACCAACAGAAUAAGCACCGGCUAACUUCGUG
rnacentral:rRNA from 1 species